UAGGCUUCCUCCUGCUGUUUGCGUUUCCUCGUGAAGUGGAGGGCCCUGAACCCUACCUGGGGGUCACUGCAGUUAAGGCUGCCCUCGACACUUGCAUCUCUGACCAGCUCUUGCCUGUUUCACCUUGAGUUGAAUGAAGACCCUCACAAAGCUCUGACCCUCACGAGGACAAGCCAGUUGUCUGGAAAAAGGCCUCAUCUGCUUCCUAAUGGGGCAGCCUGUAACAGGCACCCG